GGAUUGUUGGUCUAGUGGUAUGAUUCUCGCUUAGGGUGCGAGAGGUCCCGGGUUCAACUCCUGGAUUAGCCC
rnacentral:tRNA from 1 species